rnacentral:lncRNA from 1 species
AGAGGUUGUAAAAUCUGAAGAUCUUAUUGAUUCCGAACAGCAAGAAGUUCCGGAAGAUUUAGAGGAUGAACGAGUUGUGAGAAAGUCCACCAGAACCUCUGUAUUUUAAAGUUUUACAGUUUGUUCAGAACUAAUAUGACCCUAUUGCAUUCUCUGUAUCAAAUUAUUAAUGCAACUGAGAAGGUAUGGAGAAUCGACAUUUUGGGGAAUCUGAACUUCCUACCAAGAAAACGUAAGGGAUUUUGGCAAGAAUGGGUUACGGAUGUUACAAUAGUACUACUAAAUGGGAAGAUAAAUCAUUUUAAUAGUACAAUAACAAAAAAUAUACUUACUGACCUGUUCUCAGUGAAGGCCGACGAUCGAUCUUCAGAAAUCGAUGAAACCCUAAUGAGUUCUUAAGAAAUAGAUGACGGGUGGAAGACGAGACAAGAAAAACAAAAUGGGAAAACGAAAUUUAUCACAGAAGACAACCUAGGUCACUGACAUAAACAAAAACUAAUAGACUUUGAACAACGAAGGGGAAAAACAUCGAGCUCAAUAUGUGACAGGCGACAGGGCAUACACAGGCAAGGGGAUUCGAUUCAAAGAUUUUCAUACCUAUUCAUAAUGAC